CAGUAUGUAUGCGGCGGUAUUAAUGAGC
rnacentral:sRNA from 1 species